rnacentral:rRNA from 1 species
AUUGAACGCUGGCGGCAGGCCUAACACAUGCAAGUCGAGCGAGCGGCGGACGGGUGAGUAAUGUCUGGGAAACUGCCUGAUGGAGGGGGAUAACUACUGGAAACGGUAGCUAAUACCGCAUACCAUCAGAUGUGCCCAGGUGGGAUUAGCUAGUAGGUGGGGUAACGGCUCACCUAGGCGACGAACCCUAGCUGGUCUGAGAGGAUUACCAGCAACACUGGAACUGAGACACGGUCCAAAAUCCUACGGGAGGCAGGAUGGGGGAAUAUUGCACAAGGGGCGCAAGCCUGAUGCAGCCAUGCCGCGGGUUUGAAGAAGGCCUUCGGGUUGGAAAGCACUUUCAGCGGGGAGGCGUUACCCGCAGAAGAAGCACCGGCUAACUCCGUGCCAGCAGCCGCGGUAAUAC